rnacentral:lncRNA from 1 species
AGCCCAUCCCCACAGCAACACACUGUUUCAACUACUGGCUCAGAUCCUCUGGCUGGUUUUAAUGAUAAGAUGACUAAAAUCAUGGAACGCUGAAUCCUCUAUAUGCGAGGCGGGGAAUAUGGCUAGUCUUUGUUUUUAUUCACCAGAACUUCCAAUUAACAACUGGCUUAAAAUCACCUGUGGGCUUGAGGAACAUUCAUGUACUUUGCUGGCAAACUAAAUACACAGAUAGUAGUGAACACCCUACAGAGGUGGAGAGAGGAGGGCAGUAAUCAUUCACAAUGUGAAAAAAGAUCUACAGGCAAGAUUUUGAGAAAAAAGGAAGGAAGAGGAAUAAUUCAGUUAAAAGUGAGGACCGCUGCUGUAAGCCCUGCUAAGAGCAAAGAGCGUGAUACAGCUGAGAGCUGUCAGAUAUUUGCUGGUUUAUGUAUUUAAUGAAUGAGUGAAGAAAGAAGAAGCAAUAAACUAUAGAAGGCUGA